rnacentral:rRNA from 1 species
UUGGGUUAAGUCCCGUAACGAGCGCAACCCUUGUCCUUAGUUACCAGCACGUUAUGGUGGGCACUCUAAGGAGACUGCCGGUGACAAACCGGAGGAAGGUGGGGAUGACGUCAAGUCAUCAUGGCCCUUACGGCCUGGGCUACACACGUGCUACAAUGGUCGGUACAAAGGGUUGCCAAGCCGCGAGGUGGAGCUAAUCCCAUAAAACCGAUCGUAGUCCGGAUCGCAGUCUGCAACUCGACUGCGUGAAGUCGGAAUCGCUAGUAAUCGUGAAUCAGAAUGUCACGGUGAAUACGUUCCCGGGCCUU